rnacentral:misc_RNA from 1 species
AACGCACAUUGCGCCCCCUGGUAUUCCGGGGGGCAUGCCCGUUUCAGAAUCAUAAAGUAUCUCACUCCGACCUUGGUGUGCGAGCACCUGGCGACGAGUGGACGCUGGAUGUCUUUGUGCCUUCGGGCGCAAUCGUCUGAAAAUGAUUGUGCGUGCUGCCGAACACGUCGGUUUGCCCUCAAAGUGCAACAGAGACUAUCUAUUCACGAUGAGGCAGGCUUGACGGGUCGGAGGCGCGAACUCCAACCUAAUUUGACGGCUGGACACUCCCGUGGGAGUGUGCAUCUGAUGACUUGGUCUGAAAUCGGGCAAGAAAACCCGCUGAACUUAA